UGGGACCAUCGCCACCCAUGUUGACAGGCAUAGGAAGCUGCCUCUACUUAGCUGAGCCAACUCUUCGGAAGCCUCUCUUGGGCAACCCCUCACUGGUGCCCUUCCUUCCUUGAUGCACACUUGCAAAGCUGUCAUCCAAAUUCCGUUCCUCUACAAAUGAUGCCUUUCUGGUCUCCAGGUAGCUCUGCAUAGGGCAUAUUAGCGUCAAUGAUUCACAACCGUGCUUAGUUAUGUGCACUGUUGCAGCGAGGGGAUUGGUAAAAGACUGCCCUGCAGCUAUUUACAGAAGCAGAGAGCCAGAAAGGAGGAUUCCAUUCUAGUCGAUCCAACUGAUGAUUUGACUGAUGCCACUACAGAACUAAUGGUCACUAUUCUGAGUUCCAUCCUUACCUAAGUAUUACACUGAAGCUUCGUAGGUAAAUAAUGAGUAAUUUUAAUGUAUGUGCAAGUUGAGGUGAGA
rnacentral:lncRNA from 1 species